GCCUGGGUGGCUCAGUCGGUUGAGCGUCCGACUUCAGCUCAGGUCACUUCAGCUCAGAUCUCAUGGUCUGUGAGUUCGAGCCCCGCGUCAGGCU
rnacentral:tRNA from 1 species